rnacentral:pre_miRNA from 1 species
UAUUUACUCCCUCCGUCCGAAAAUACUUGUCAUCAAAAUGGAUAAAAAGGGAUGUAUCUAGAACUAAAAUACAUCUAGAUACAUCCCCUUUUAUUCAUUUUGAUGACAAGUAUUUCCGGACGGAGGGAGUACUUA